GCGGAUGUAGCUCAGUUGGUUAGAGCGCUGGUUUGUGGUACCAGAUGUCGUCGGUUCGAGUCCGAUCUUCCGCCCCA
rnacentral:tRNA from 1 species